UGAACAAUUCUCAGUACUUUAAUUCUAAAACCACAUGAACAAAGGACAAGCCAAUAAAACAGAUAAAAACCGGAUUUGAAAAGAGAAAACAGAGCAAUUCAGAGAACUUUGAAGGUUGUAUAAUAAAUAUAUCAACAUGAAUUUUGAAUUCAGUGGCACAUUUUUCUCAUCAUCAUGCUCUGUUUUCCUUUCAAUACAAAAU
rnacentral:sRNA from 1 species